rnacentral:rRNA from 1 species
GGAGUUUGGACCGUGUCUCAGUCCCAAUGUGGCCGUCCACCCUCUCAGGCCGGCUACCGAUCGUUGCCCUGGUGGGCCUUUACCCCGCCAGCUAGCUAAUCGGACGCGGACCCAUCCCCCACCGCUGACGCUUUCCCCGCCCUGCCAUGCGGCAGGGCGGCCGUAUGCGGUAUUAGCACCUGUUUCCAGGUGUUAUCCCCCGGUGGGGGGCAGGUUGUCCACGCGUUACUCACCCGUCCGCCACUAGGAUGGCCCAUGGUUCGGCCGAAGCCUCCCCGGCGGGUCAUCCCCGUUCGACUUGCAUGUGUUAGGCACGCCGCCAGCGUUCAUC